rnacentral:rRNA from 1 species
ACGGAAGGCAACAGUGAGGAAUAUUGGUCAAUGGGCGCAAGCCUGAACUAGCCAUGCCGCGUGCAGGAAUAAGGCCCUAUGGGUCGUAAACUGCUUUUGCUGGGGAGCAAUAAGGUCUACGUGUAGGCUGAUGAGAGUACCCAGCGAAUAAGCAUCGGCUAACUCCGUGCCAGCAGCCGCGGUAAUACGGAGGAUGCAAGCGUUAUCCGGAUUUAUUGGGUUUAAAGGGUGCGUAGGCUGUUGUUCAAGUCAGAGGUGAAAGCCCGGGGCUCAACUCCGGAACUGCCUUUGAUACUGGGCGGCUUGAAUCCUGUUGCCGUGGGAGGAAUGAGUAGUGUAGCGGUGAAAUGCAUAGAUAUUACUCAGAACACCGAUUGCGAAGGCAUCUCACGAAGCAGGUAUUGACGCUGAGGCACGAAAGCGUGGGGAUCAAACAGGAUUAGAUACCCUGGUA